AACACCCUGUAGAACAACGUCUGCUCUGAGGUUGCACCACCGGAUCAGACAAUUGAUCGACAACAAAUUAUUAACAG